GACGAACGCUGGCGGCGUGCUUAACACAUGCAAGUCGAGCGAGGCCCUCUCUUCGGAGGGGUGCCCUAGCGGCGAACGGGUGAGUAACACGUGGGCAACCUGCCCCUAGCACUGGGAUAACUCCGGGAAACCGGGGCUAAUACCGGAUACGACUUCCGAGGGCAUCUUUGGAAGUGGAAAGGAUUCUGGCUAGGGAUGGGCCCGCGGCCUAUCAGCUUGUUGGUGGGGUAACGGCCCACCAAGGCAACGACGGGUAGCCGGCCUGAGAGGGCGACCGGCCACACUGGGACUGAGACACGGCCCAGACUCCUACGGGAGGCAGCAGUGGGGAAUAUUGCACAAUGGGCGAAAGCCUGAUGCAGCGACGCCGCGUGAGGGAUGACGGCCUUCGGGUUGUAAACCUCUUUCAGCAGGGACGAAGCGAAAGUGACGGUACCUGCAGAAGAAGCACCGGCCAACUACGUGCCAGCCGCCGCAGUAAUAC
rnacentral:rRNA from 1 species